UAGGGAAUCUUCCACAAUGGGGCGAAAGCCUGAUGGAGCAACGCCGCGUGUGUGAUGAAGGGUUUCGGCUCGUAAAACACUGUUGUAAGAGAAGAAUGACAUUGAGAGUAACUGUUCAAUGUGUGACGGUAUCUUACCAGAAAGGAACGGCUAAAUACGUGCCAA
rnacentral:rRNA from 1 species